ensembl:lncRNA
GUCAUGGCAAAGGCUUUGUCUGUAUAUACUGUACUGCAGAAGUCAGCUGCGAAGGACAAAUCUGAGGGCCUUAGAGUCGGAGCAUACAGGACUGCGUAAGCCUGACCUUCCAGAGCCAUCCACGGAAUAGAGGCAAGAGCUAUGUAAGCAGGUUAUGGAAAUAUGUGAUUAACCCUUGCCAAGGUGGCCCGUCAAAUGAAUGCUUGCUGGAUUUCUUCUUAAUAACUGGAUCAUCCUGCAAAUACUGGAGGAUCAUUGGAAAAGUGAAUGAAGACCUAGGCAACGUUCAAUUUAUUUCCAGAAACGAGAGGAGAGGAGAGGAGAGGAG